rnacentral:rRNA from 1 species
GAUGAACGCUAGCUACAGGCUUAACACAUGCAAGUCGAACGAUGAAGCCGGAGCUUGCUCCGGUGGAUUAGUGGCGAACGGGUGAGUAACACGUGAGCAAUCUGCCCUUGACUCUGGGAUAACUGCGGGAAACUGUAGCUAAUACCGGAUACGACACCUUGGGGCAUCCCAGGGUGUGGAAAGAAUUUCGGUCAAGGAUGAGCUCGCGGCCUAUCAACUAGUUGGUGAGGUAAUGGCUCACCAAGGCGACGACGGGUAGCCGGCCUGAGAGGGUGACCGGCCACACUGGAACUGAGACACGGUCCAGACUCCUACGGGAGGCAGCAGUGGGGAAUAUUGCACAAUGGGCGAAAGCCUGAUGCAGCAACGCCGCGUGAGGGAUGAAGGCCUUCGGGUUGUAAACCUCUUUUAGCAGGGAAGAAGCGAAAGUGACGGUACCUGCAGAAAAAGCACCGGCUAACUACGUGCCAGCAGCCGCAGUAA